rnacentral:rRNA from 1 species
GACGAACGCUGGCGGCGUGCUUAACACAUGCAAGUCGAACGGAAAGGCCCUGCUUUUGUGGGGUGCUCGAGUGGCGAACGGGUGAGUAACACGUGAGUAACCUGCACUUGACUUUGGGAUAACUUCAGGAAACUGGGGCUCAUACCGGAUAGGAGCUCCUGCUGCAUGGUGGGGGUUGGAAAGUUUCGGCGGUUGGGGCUGGUCUCGCGGCUUACCAGCUUGUUGGUGGGGUAGUGGCUUACCAAGGCUUUGACGGCUAGCCGGCGUGGGAGGGGGACCAGCGACAAUGGGACUGAGAGACGGCCCAGACUCCUACGGGAGGCAGCAGUGGGGAACAUGGCACAAUGGGCGGAAGCCUGAUGCAGCAACGCCGCGUGCGGGAUGACGGCUUUCGGGUUGUAAACCGCUUUCGCAUGUGACGAAGCGUGAGUGACGGUAAUGGGUAAAGAAGCACCGGCUAACUACGUG